rnacentral:lncRNA from 1 species
UGGGCUGCAGCAUGGCGGCGAAGGCGUGCAGGGGGGUUCGAGGCAUUCGGUCGUGUUCGCCCCGCUUUGUUCGCCUUUACCUUGGGGUGACGAAGUCUGUCUGAGGCCUUUCAGCACCGACUCUCACUCUUUGCUAAGACAUGGGCAGAAAGGUUUUUAUCUCCCAUUGGUGUCACCCAGAGCCCAGUCAUGGAGGUUGCCCUAGAAGGAAUAAUCUUACUUCACAGCUCAGCCACCAAUACUUAGAAGAACUGCUGAGAAAAAAGCCUGUGCAGAACUUCUCAUGUAGUACCGAGAAACAAGGAAAUCACUGGCCUUCUCCAACUCCACUGACAGGGUAGUAGUGAUGCAGCUCAUCUGAACAGCUACAUGGUACAGAACAGCGGGAUGAAACUCAGAAGCAUAAAUUACUUGGGACUGCCACAACCAAUUGUAUUACAAAUUAAUGCAUGGAAAGACAUCAGAUCAAUUACUGCUCUACGUGGCUGCCUUUGCAAAUCAGCUCAUUGAAAUGGAAUCUCUGUCACAAGUUCAUACACUUUCCAUGUAGCAUGAAAGGACUUAGAUACUUUAAACUUACUAAAUGCAAAUUGCCUGUGCCAAGAUUAUGCAUUUUUCUUAUGAGGGUGAAAAUAUUUUCCCCACUUAUAACUUUGACAUGCAAAUAUGUACUUGCUAAAACCUUGUUCUUAUGCAAACAAGGCAGGUGGGAAAUAUUUUUACAUGUCAAGAAUAUGUUCCAACUUGGUUUCUCACAUUCCCUGAGUUACUGAGAGCUUCCUG